rnacentral:lncRNA from 1 species
UUUCCUUUUUUUUUUUUUCCCGGGGAGUCGGCCUCGGGGCUCUGCUCUCCUACCUCAGUCUGCCCUACCCUGGAAUGGGGAAAAUGCGGACAUGCCACUCAGUCCGGCCGCGAACAGUGCUCCAGAACUCAGAGAGUUUUCCAGACGGGUGGAGAUCGCGUUCCCUGCCCGCCGAGGUCCCAUCGCUUCCCUGCUGGGAAGACAAAUGAGGCGCUUUAGCCGUCUCCACGGCCAGCCCCUCCCUCAUAACCCGAGAUUCUUUGUGGGCUCUUAGUCCAUAGCUGCCUUUGAGGUGGUGUAGACCUUGCUAACCAGGACGGCCCAGUAGGCAGAGCUCAUUUUUAUUCCUGUCUGCAAUCGUGCAAAAACGCCUCUUAUGGAAAAGCCAGAGCGCCAGGAGUCAGCAAAACACACUAAAGAUUGGGCAGUCACUGGGGAGAACAUGGCCUGAAGCAACUGAAGAUCCACAAAAGAAGUGAAAAUAGCCUUAACUGAUGACAUUCCACCAUUGAGAUUUGUUCCUGCCCCACCCUAACUGAUACGAUAUAUUCUCCCCCGCCCUUAAGAAGACUCAGCCCGCCUGCACCCAGGUGAAAUAUACAGCCUUGUUGCUCACACAAAGCCUGUUUGGUGGUUUCUUCACACGGAUGCAUGUGACAUUUGGUGCUGAAGACCCAGGACAGGAGGACUCCUUUGGGAGACCAGUGCCCUGUUGUCGCCCUCACUCCGUGAGGAGAUCCACCUAUGAUCUCAGGUCCUCAGACCAACCAGCCCAAGGAACAUCUUGCCAAUUUCAAAUCGGGUAAGUGGUCUUUUCACUCUUCUCCAGCCUUUCUUGCUACCCUUCAAUCUUCCUCUCUCACUACCCUUCAAUCUCCCUGUCCUUCCAAUUCCCGUUCUUUUUCCUCUCUAGUAGAGAUAAGGAGACACAUUUUAUCUGUGGACCCAAAACUCCAGCGUCAGUCACGGACUCGGGAAGACAGUCUUCCCUUGGUGUUUAAUCACUGUGGGGACGCCUGCCUGAUUAUUCACCCACACUCCAUUGGUGUCUGAUCACCACGGGGAUGCCUGCCUUGGUCAUUCACCCACAUUCCCUUGGUGACAAGUCAAUUGCGGGGACACCUGCUUUGGCUGCUCACCCACAUUGCAGCCCAGGGCUGCUCAAUGCCCCCCGCUGCCCCACCCGCCUUCUCCGUGCCUCUACCCUCUCUUUUCUCGGGUUUACCUCCUUCACUAUGGGCAACCUUCCACCCUCCAUUCCUCCUUCUUCUCCCUUAGCCUGUGUUCUCAAAAACUUAAAACCUCUUCAACUCACACCUGACCUAAAACCUAAGUGUCUUAUUUUCUUCUGCAACACCGCUUGGCCCCAAUACAAACUCGACAAUGAUUCCAAAUAGCCAGAAAACGGCACUUUCGAGUUCUCCAUCCUACAAGUUCUAGAUAAUUCUUGUCAUAAAAUGGGCAAAUGGUCUGAGGUGCCUGACGUCCAGGCAUUCUUUUACACAUUGGUCCCUCCCUAGUCUCUGCUCCCAAUGUGACUCAUCCCAAAUCUUUCUUCUUUCUCUCCUUUCUGUUCCUUCGGUCUCCACCCCAAGUUCCGAGUCCUCUGAAUCCUUCUUUUCUAUGGACUCAUCUGACCUCCCCCCUUCUCCCCAGGCUGCUCCUCGCCAGGCUGAGCCAGGUCCCAAUUCUCACUUAGCCUCUGCUCCCCCACCCUAUAAUCCUUUUAUCACCUCCCCUCCUCACACCUGGUCCAGCUUACAGUUUCGUUCCUCGACUAGCUCUCCCCGAUCUGCCCAACAAUUUCCUGUUAAAGAGAUGGCUGACUAUCCUGACUUCAUCAGAGCAGGCUGGUGCCUGGCCUUCCUGGAAUGAGUGGGUGUUCUGACAGGCCCCCAGUUUGUCCCAUCUGCACCGCCAAGAGGUCUCCGGGUGGCCAGAGGAGCAAAGUUGCCUUCCAAGUGCCUGUUGGUGCCUGGGAGAACACAGCAGGAGUGUCGUGCGGCCCACAGCGCAGUGCAUGGUGAUUCCAGGCGCUGAACAACUCCCCUUGACCCUUGGGCCUGCAUCUGACUCCCGGCUGCAGAAUCAGAAGCUGAGUCCAGGCAACCGCUCGGCCACUCCCGGUCACUCCUCUCUGGACACCCAGUUACUAAAGUCAGCAAAGAAGAUGCGGUAAUCACCGCCUGAUCUCCACAUGGUGAACACAACACUCUCACUAACACCUCCUUGACCAGUCAGUCUUCAGCACUGGGGGUGGACAGGCAGGUUUUCUGUGUUUACCAGAAUCGCACAGGCUAAGCACAAACAUGGAACCAGAGUUCCAGGUGAGGAAACCUCACUCGCAGAAGCCCAGGCUGCACCCCACCAGGUGAUGCAGUGCGCCUAGGCUGUGGGUGCUAGGAGCCAAGUGCUAGGGACUCGUCAUGAGUGGGAAUCCCCACGUUCCUGUCACUGCUGUCAAACAGAAGGUAAACAGUCUUACGAAUGUAAUUCCUUAGGAAGACUUGUACAAACUUUUAUUAGGAUAUCUAUUUAUUUAAUACUGAACUUUGGCCUACUUUGUGAUAAGACUAUAAACAAAUUGAGGAAAUCACUAUUUCUCACUUCUGUAUUUCUCAAAAAAUAAUUUUGUUACAGAGUUCAAUAUACUGUGUACUACUGAUCUUCUAUUGUGAAAGCAAAGCAUUUCAUCAAAACAAAGUAUUUUAAAUUAUGAGUGAAAA